rnacentral:rRNA from 1 species
CCUACGGGUGGCAGCAGUGAGGAAUAUUGGUCAAUGGACGAGAGUCUGAACCAGCCAAGUAGCGUGAAGGAUGACGGCCCUAUGGGUUGUAAACUUCUUUUAUAAAGGAAUAAAACGAGGCACGUGUGCCUUUUUGCAUGUACUUUAUGAAUAAGGAUAGGCUAACUCCGUGCCCGCAGCCGCGGUAAUACGGAGGAUCCGAGCGUUAUCCGGAUUUAUGGGGUUUAAAGGGAGCGUAGAUGGGUUGUUAAGUCAGUUGUGAAAGUGUGCGGCUCAACCGUAAAAUUGCAUUUUAUACUUGCAGUCUUGAGUACAGUUGCGGUCGGCGGCAUUCGUGGUGUAGCGGUGCACUGCUUAGAUCUCACGAAGAACCCCGAUUGCGAAGGCAGCUUACUAAACUGUGACUGACAUUGAUGCUCGACAGUGUGGGUAUCAAACAGGAUUAGAUACCCCAGUAGUC